rnacentral:rRNA from 1 species
UGGGUUUGAACUGUACAGGCAACUUUCAGAGAUGAGAGCCCCUCUUCGGAGGUCUGUAUAGAGGUGCUGCAUGGCUGUCGUCAGCUCGUGUCGUGAGAUGUUGGGUUAAGUCCCGCAACGAGCGCAACCCUUGUUCAUAGUUACUAACGCGUAAUGGCGAGGACUCUAUGGAGACUGCCGGUGAUAAACCGGAGGAAGGUGGGGAUGACGUCAAGUCCUCAUGGCCUUUA